GGAGCUGUCCUUAGUACGAGAGGACCGGGAUGGACACACCUCUGGUGUUCCGGUUGUCACGCCAGUGGCAUCGCCGGGUAGCUAUGUGUGGACGGGAUAACCGCUGAAAGCAUCUAAGCGGGAAGCCCCCCUCGAGAUCAGGUUUGCUUGCUUUACGCGAGAGACCCCCGGAAGACUACCGGGUUGAUAGGCCGCAAGUGUAAGGGUUGAGAAGCCCUCAGCUGAGCGGUACUAACGGUCAAAGGUUU
rnacentral:rRNA from 14 species